rnacentral:misc_RNA from 1 species
GUGAAGAACGCAGCGAAAUGCGAUACUUGGUGUGAAUUGCAGAAUCCCGUGAACCAUCGAGUCUUUGAACGCAAGUUGCGCCCGAAGCCAUUAGGCCGAGGGCACGCCUGCCUGGGCGUCACACGUCGUUGCCCCCCCAUCUACUCCUUCGGGAUUGCGGGGGGCGGAUGAUGGCCUCCCGUGCGCCUCGUCGCGCGGUUGGCCUAAAUGCCAAGUCCUCGGCGACGCACGCCACGACAAUCGGUGGUUGCGAAACCUCGGUUGCCCGUCGUGUGCGGUCGUCGCGCAUCGAGGGCUCGAAAAAAUUGCCGGGCUUCGGCUCGACUUUCAACGCGACCCCAGGUCAGGCGGGGUUACCCGCUGAAUUUAAGCAUAUCAAUAAGCGGAGGA